GAGAAAGGGAGGGAGUUAGGCUUGGAUCUAGGAGUCUUUGCGACCGUUGCGAGCUCGGCUACACGAUAGAAAAUUGUUGGUGGAACUUAUUGAGAAGUAAGGAACAAGCCGAGCCCUAUUUUGUACAAGGGGAACCCUUUUAGUACCAAAGGGUUGAGGUCCAGGCGAAGGAUCCAGUGGUGGACGGGAAAAGGAGCAAAGCUAGGGGUUUGCUUGUGAUUUGUAAAGAACUGCAACCCCUUUCUUUUGAGCAAAUAUAUUGUAAUGUAUUUAAGAUUAGGGUGCCAGUAGGAUAUGAUUAUGUGUGUGUGUGUGAAUAUGUGUGGAUUGUGUGCUUGUGUAUGAAUUUUUGUCUGUUUGCAGACUUGUGGCUAGGAAACUUGGUUAUGGUGUGUGGUUUUGAUGGAUUUACUUAGUAGACCAAGUUUCUAUUACAAGCAUAUCUUUAUUUUGAUAUAUAUGUGAUUUUAUAAGCAAAUGCAAAGUGGUUGCAUUGCAAAUGGUGUGCUAUGGGAAAACA